rnacentral:rRNA from 1 species
UACGUAGGGGGCGAGCGUUGUCCGGAUUUAUUGGGCGUAAAGAGCGUGUAGGCGGCCAGGUAGGUCGGUUGUGAAAACUCGAGGCUCAACUUCGAGCUGUCGGUGGAAACUUUCUGGCUAGAGUCCGGAAGAGGAGAAUGGAAUUCCUGGUGUAGCGGUGAAAUGCGCAGAUAUCAGGAAGAACACCCGUGGCGAAGGCGGUUCUCUGGGACGGUACUGACGCUGAGACGCGAAAGCGUGGGGAGCGAACAGG